GGGGACAGAAAGGACCUGCGGGGAGAAACCUGGGGAAGCCACAGAAAACACUUAUUCUGAAAAAUGAGGCCAGGAAGAGGAGCUCAUAUGGCUUCAAUUCAGAACCAGUCAGGGAAGAGAAUAUUGGUGCUGGACCUCCUCAGAAAAGUCAAGACACUGGCCUGGACAUUGUAGAGCCAUCAAACUAAUGAUGUAGAGCUCUCAGCAAUUUCUCCAGCACCAUGUCUGCCUGCAUGCUGCCAUGCUUCCCACCAUGAUGACAAUGGACCAAACCUCUGAACUCUAAGCCAGUUCCCAGUGAAGUGAUUUCCUUUAUAAGAGUUGCCAUGAUCAUAGUGUCUCUUCAUAGCCAUAGAAACCCCAGCCAAGACAAUUUUCUAAAAUAGAUUAUAUGUUCAGGCACAAAACAAGUCUCAAUAAAUAUAGGAACGGGGACAGAUAACCACAAUGGGAUAAAGCUAGACAUCAAUAUGAAGAAAACUACAGAAAACAUAUAAACUCAUGAAUGUUAAAUGAUACAAUGAUGAGACACGAAAUUAAUAAAGAAGGAAGCAAAAUAAAAUUGAAUGAAAAUGAAACAACAUACAAAACCUACAGGAUACAAUACAGGUAGUGUUGAGGGCUUCUAAGGUAUAAGUACCUUAAGGAACUAUUCAACAUCAAGUAUUAUCAAUAAAUGUCAUUUAUUGGAUAAAUGGACUCAAGGAAAUAAUAUGAUGAUUUCAAUAGAUGAAGAAAUAGCAAAAUCUCUUCAUGACAGAAUCCCAAGAGAGACUAAGAAUGAAUAUACCUCAACACAAUAAAAGCUGUAUACAACAAAUCUAGCCACCAUCAUGUUAAAUGGAGAAAAGCUUCGAGCAUUCCCAUGAAGAUGAGGAACACACCCACUCCUGUUCAAUGUAGUCCUUGAAGUCUUAGCCAGAGAAAUAAAGGAAGAGGAAUAUGAAAGGGAUUCAAACAGGAGAGGAAGGGGUCAAAGCAUCCCUGUUGCAGACUAUGUCAUUCUACAUACAAUGACUCCAUCAGGAAAUCCUUAGAGUUGAUAACUAUUUUCAGUAAAAUGGCAGGCAGCAAAACUAACAGCCCCCAAUCAGAAGCAUUCCCAUAUGCCAAAGACAAAUAUGCUGAGACAGAAAAAUCUGAGAAACAAUCCUAAUUACAAGAGCUGCAAAACACCAUGGAAUAACCUAUACAAUGAAAAUGUUCAAACACAAGAAAGUGAAGACAUCAAAAAAUAAAAAUAAAAAUAAAAAAAAGCACAAAGACCUUCCAUGCUUGUGGACUGGUAGGAUUAAUAAUGUGAAAAUUGCCACCCUACCAAAGGUGAUCUGCAGAUUCAACACAACCCUAACAUAAUUCCAAGGCAAUUCUUCACACAAAUUAAAAAAAAAACUCUUAAAAGUCACAUGGAAACACAAAAACUCUGGACAAUAAAACCACUGCUGGAGGUAGACUAUUCACGAUUUCAAGUUCUCCUACAGAGUCAUAAUAAUAAAACCUGCAUGAUACUGGCACAAAAACAGACACAGUGACCCGUGGAAUAGAAUUGAGGACCCAGAUAUAAGUCCACUCACCUAUGGACCCCUGAUAUUUUUCGAAGAUGCCAAAAAUACUGACUGUAGAAAACACAGCAUCCUCCACAAAUGAUGCUGGGAGAACUGGAUAUCUACACACAGAAGAGUGAAACUUGAUCCUUCUUUCUCACCCCUCAAAAACCCAAUUCCAAAUGCAUCAAAGACCUCAGUGUUAGCCCCUGAAAUCUCAGACUUCUAGAGCAAAGAGUCGGGGGUGCAUUUCAAGGUACAGACUCAGGUUCCUGCUGUGAGUACCUGCCUUGCCCUUCCUCACUGAUGGACUAUAAAGUGUAAGCUGAAACAAACCCUUUCCUCCCAAAGUUGGUUUUGGACAUCGUUGUAUCACAGCAGUAGAGAAGCAAGGAGGACAGAAGCCGACUGUACCUGACUGGCUGCUGCUCUAGCCUCCAGUCCCAACCUGUCUACGCUCCAGGACUCUAUGUUCCAGCCAUAUUGAGUUGACUGCAGUUUCCAAAAGCCAGAUUUGCAGGAAGUCAUUCUUCUGUUUUGCUUCAUACGUGUGUUCUCAAAGCUUUGAUGAAGACCCUCUUUAGAAGCAAGUAAAAGCUGGUCUAGAGGGCAUUCAGAGUUCUUUAAGUUUUACACAAAAUGAAACUCGUUUUCUUUGCAACUUCAUGAAACAAUCUAGAAGAUGUUCACAGGCCUAAACGAAGUAAGAAUUUCCCCAGGAGUCUAGAGCAAGUUUUUGUGUAGAGACUUGACUUUGAAGGAGAAAUACCAACAGAUUCAACGUCUGGAUUUCAGCUUCUUCCUGGCCAGCUGUGCUUGACUCCAUAAAAUAAAUCAAUGAGAUAAAUAUGCUUUCUCUGGCCAGAUCCCAGGAACUACUGAAUCGUAAGCUGCAUGGAGACCCAGAACAGAAAGCCAGAAGUCAUCCAGGCAGCCUAGCUCCUUGGAGAGACAUUGUAAAGGAUGGGGUAACCUCUGCUCCCUGGAGUUGGAAUUUGGAACUCAAAAGGCAAAACAGGACACGCCAUUCUAGUCCUUGGCUGCCAAAGCCUGUGACUGUUGCUGCCAAGCAUCUUCCAGGCUUGAUGUGUGCUCCAGCUGGAGCUGAAUGUUUCCAUCUGUACGACUGCAGGUGGUUAUAUAAUUAGCCACAUACAUUUGUAGCGCUGUUGAGAGAAGACUAGUAAUGAACCCACCCUUGCUUUACAUCUGUGGGGUGUUGCAAUGGACUGGAAAGGGGUCUGUUCCUAAAAUAAACAGAUCAAAAUACUUUCUGUGUUCUAAAUCUUCUGAGGUUGCUUAUUUCAGCAGUUGUUACUGAAGCCUAAAUGAUUGAAAUGACAGUGGGAACCAAGCUUGGUGAGUGUCUACGGUCUCUGCUUGAGAAGUUUCUGCAUCUUUCAGAAGUCGCCCAGAAGCCACUUGGGUUCUCUGGAGGGAACGACACAGCAAUAGAUCCUGCUGAACUUCCUACCUUUCUGCCUUGUGUUAAAGGAUUUGGCACUGGCAUUCUAUUUGACUUAUUCCUUACUCUUUUGGACCACAGGGGUCCGUAUUUUUCAUCUGACACAUUUGCCAAGAGUGGAAAAAUAAUUUCAAUGAGAUAGGAGUCCAAUAAAAAAUAAUUAAGGGGGCUGAGGAAAUGCCUCAGUGAGUAAAGGACUUGCUGUGCCAGCAUAAGGACCCAAGUUUUAGAACUAAGAACCCAUAAAAGUUGGUCAUGAUGCCACAUGCCUAUAACCCCAACAUUGUGGUGGCAGAAGGGGGAUCCCAAGGGCUCCUUGGUCAGCCAGUCUACUCAAAAUAGUGAGCUACAGGUUUAGUGAGAGAUCCUGCCUCAAAGAAAAUAGUAUGAAGAAGAAACUAAGGAAAGGUACCCCAACUUCAACGUCUGGCAUCCACAUGCACACUCAUGCAUGUGUGUGUGUGUGCUUGUAUGAACACACACUGUCAAAAAAAAAAAGGACAAUUUUAACUAAAACUACAUUGAAUCUAAAAGGAGGAUUGACACCAUCAUGGAACACAGGGUUCCACUUAAAGGCAGGGUUCUGGUUAAGUUUAUUUCUUUUUCUCUGUACUUACUGUUUCUACAGUGCAUACAGGAAAGAGAACUUAGAACCCAGUGACUUGAUAAUGAGGUGAGAGACAUGUUAGGAUCAGAGAAAAGGCAACACAUCUCUCCAUUCUCUCUUCAUGUUACCCUCCAAUUUGAUCAGAGCUGGGUAAGGGAGAGUGAUGUUAGGCAUGUCCUGAAAAUGCCUGGCAAGACUGUUCUAACUGACCUGAUACAUGUGCCUUAUCCAGCCCUAGUUUAAGUGCUUUUUAUAAUGAUGGCCCAAAUGGGAAAAUGUCAUCCAGAAUGGCCUUUGAUCUUCAUUUUAUGUCAGUUCCUAAAGGCAAUGACUGCUGCUUCCUUCCAUCUCCAGCCAACAGAAAGCUGGCUGGACUCCCACUGGUAGUAAAAGGGCAGUGCUGGCUACCAGCUCCUGGCUCACGAAUUGGGAUCCAAAUGGGUAUCAUAAUUAAAGCAAGAAUUUAUUAAAAUGUUUGGAAAGGCACAGAGUGACAAUGCCAUUCCAUUCUUUAACAUUUGCUGAGGCUUCUUCCUAACCAUUCUUAGGACUGGAAUUAAACCCCUUAUUUUGAUAAAGGGAAGGACUGACAUGUUAUCAUGGAAAUCCAGAGGCAGAAGCUGGGCCUUUAUGUGCACAUUAAACAUCCUAGGAGCUCUAGUGACCCACCUGGUAAGACAUGGUGUUUCCACAUUUGGCAUCUCAGAUCUCCUGGUACCAGAACUUCUCAAGCUCUGACUUUCAAGUUUUUCACUCUAGUGAUGGGAACAUCUAUUUCCCAUAGCAACAGGGAGGGGGAGUUCCUAGAAGUGGCUUCUGAACUAGAGUAACAAGUGAGGAGUGAGACAUGAGACUGGCUAGAAUUUCACAUUGAGCACAGCUAAGGAAGGGAAUUUCCCGAAUACCCUUUGCCAAUAGCAAGUCGUUGAAAAUCAAGUCAAGAGUUGAGCAAAAACUGGGUUCGUUGGUCCCUAAUUUAGGAUACCAAAGUAGAAAAGGGAAAGCCCCAAAGAAUAAUUAAAAUGAUUAAUUAAAAAUUAAUUGAUUAAUUAAAAAAUCUUGGAACCAGCAGGGAAUUUCUAAAAGCUUCAUGUAUUUUGACUUCCAAUCUUCACUUCUUAUGCAUUUAGUUCAUGGUUGCUAGAUGAAUCUGCCUGGAAUACCUUUUUU